GCAUUGGUGGGUUCAGUGGGUAGAAUCCUCGCCUGCCACGCGGGGGGCCCGGGGUUCGAUUCCCGGCCAAUGCA
rnacentral:tRNA from 1 species